GGCUGAUCCGAAGGUGGUGAGUUAUCUCACUUGAUUGUUCGCAGUCCAUUACAGACUGAACUUCUUGUUCACUGCUCUCCCCCCUUCUUACUAUUGUACUUGGCUAGUCUAAA
rnacentral:Y_RNA from 1 species